GAUUAACCGGUUAAUUACAUGUUGUUGUGGGUUAUCUGCCAAGAAAGUGGGGGAAGGGAGCGGGAGUUGGUAGGUGGGGAAAGAGAGAAGAGGGAAGAAGGCGACGGCCGUGGGGAGGAGAGGAGAAGGCGCCGACGAUUCUCACCGUUCGCCGAGAGAAGAAGGGCCGGUGGCUGUUCACAGCGAGGGUAGAAGAAGAAGUAAAUUAGGGAUUUGAUUUAGGGAGAGGGGUUUUCUGAAAUUGGAGGAAUUUUGGGGUUUUUGAUGACUGUUGAAGAAGGGCCGGUGGCUGUUCACGAGCCGACGCCGGGACUGAAAAGUGGCGGCGGCGGCGGCGAGGUCGCGGCUGCAUAUGCGACGGCAAGGAGACAGAGAGGGAGAAAGGCUGUUGGUGUGAGAGAGGGCGAGAGCUGAUCUGAUCUGAGGGGCGGAGGCGAGACGCCAGAUCUGAUCUGGAGGCGAGACGCCGGAACUGGAACUGAGCUCAGGCGGCUCGAGCUCGAGCGUUGCUGCUGCUGGGACGAGCUGCUGCUGCUGGUCGAGCGCUGCUGGGAGUCUGGGUCUGCCGCCUGCCGGUGGGAGAGGCAGCGGCGCCGGCGCCGGUGC
rnacentral:lncRNA from 1 species